UCGGAUAUGGUGUAACGGCUAACAUUGCCGCCUCUCAUGCGCAUUUUGGUCAGGCUAAGCGCGGCAGCUCGGGGUUCGAUUCCCCGUAUCCGAA